GCAGCGGAAAACGUGUGAGAUAUACAUAUGAAGAUGUAUACUCAAGGUUACAUUUCUUGAAAUGUCACAGGAACACCCGCUCAACAUCAUUCCAUUCCAUCAACUGCUCAACCUGCACAUUUAGAAAUACAUGCAGGGCUGAGUAUAAAAAUACUCAGUGGGCAUAGCCGAAAAUACAACAUGCAUACAUAUAUAAAUUGAACUGCCAUAACAGUAACACACAGGGGUUUUCUU
rnacentral:lncRNA from 1 species